rnacentral:rRNA from 1 species
CCCGUGAAGCGGACUGAGGAGACAUUAUUGAGUUUUUGUUAGGUUGUAGCUGACCUCUGCAUGGAGGUAUGUGCACACUUGACUUUUCCAACUCUUCAACCUUUUGUGCACUUUUUGUAAGGAGUGGUGAAUGUUGACUUUGAAGUCAACUGUAGCUUCUUCUUACGUCUUUAUCACAAAUAUCUCAGUAACAGAAUGUUCUUACUUUGCGGUUAACGCGAUGUUAAAUACAACUUUCAGCAACGGAUCUCUUGGCUCUCGCAUCGAUGAAGAACGCAGCGAAAUGCGAUAAGUAAUGUGAAUUGCAGAAUUCAGUGAAUCAUCGAAUCUUUGAACGCACCUUGCGCUCCUUGGUAUUCCUUGGAGCAUGCCUGUUUGAGUAUCAUGAAAAUCUCAAGAUUGAUGUGUUUUGCUAAAACACAUCAAGAUUGGACUUGGAGGGCAGUGUCGGCUGAAUAACGUCGACUCCUCUGAAAUGCAUCAGCGUGAAUCUUACGGAUCAUCUUUCAGCGUGAUAAAUUUCUGCGCUGCAGCUUGUGAAGUAUUUCUGUUCAUGCUUAUGGUUAUCUUUAGAGAUAACAAUAUUUUUAUGACUUCUGAUCUCAAAUCAGGUAGGACUACCCGCUGAACUUAAGCAUAUCAAUAAGCCGGGAGGAAA